AUCUCGCUGCCCUUCCACUGCCAUCCAUCAGCCCUCCACAACCGCCCAAAGAAAUUCCCACAAUUGCUUAAAAGAUCGUCGCUGAAUUCCACCAUCAUCUCCACCACCGCAGAUCAUCCUUUGAUCUCCCCGUGAAUUGCAAUAGGUUCUGGUUUCCUACCUUACUACUACUGCAAUUUAGUUAUCCUUAUUCGAAAAAAAAAAA
rnacentral:lncRNA from 1 species